rnacentral:lncRNA from 1 species
CCUCUUUCAAUAUCUCAUUUCUUAUACUUUCAUCUUUAGGUACACACAACUUUCCUUUAAAAGUUAACGUGUUAUCCACAGAUACCUCAAAUCCUAUACGUUUGUUUGUACCAACCUCAGCUUUUAUCUUCUGUAAAAAUGAAUCCUUAUCCUAUGCUUCCUUGAUUCGAUCCUGAAGAGUAGGUCGAAUCAUAAACGCUCUUAUUCUC